GACAGAGGGGGCAAGCGUUGCUCGGAAUCACUGGGCGUAAAGGGCGCGUAGGCGGGAUGGCAAGUCGGUCGUGAAAUCCCUGGGCUCAACUCAGGGGGGUCGGCCGAUACUGCCGUUCUUGAGGGAUGCAGAGGAGACUGGAAUUCCCGGUGUAGCGGUGAAAUGUGUAGAGAUCGGGAGGAACACCGGUGGCGAAGGCGGGUCUCUGGGCAUUCCCUGACGCUGAGGCGCGAAAGCGUGGGGAG
rnacentral:rRNA from 1 species